CGGACGACGCUGGCGGCGUGGAUUAGGCAUGCAAGUCGGACGGUAGGGCUUUAUCGUAAGAUAGAGUUUGAGAGUGGCGAACGGGUGAGUAACACGUAGGAAUCUACCCUUAAGACGGGGACAACCCAGGGAAACUUGGGCUAAUACCGGAUGAGAGUGCGAGAGAUUGCAUUUAAAAGGAUGGCGAAAGUUGUCGCUUAGGGAUGAGCCUGCGGUCUAUUAGUUAGUUGGUGAGGUAAGAGCUCACCAAGGCGAUGAUAGAUAGGCGGCCUUAACGGGUGGUCGCCCACACUGGGAUUGAGAUACGGCCCAGACUCCUACGGGAGGCAGCAGUCGAGAAUAGUCUACAAUGGCCGGAAGGCUGAUAGUGCGACGCCGCGUGAACGAGGGAGCCCUUCGGGGUGUAAACUUCUGUUGGAUGGGAAAAAAAGCCUAGGAAUAGGAAUUGAUGGUACCAUUCGAGUAAGCACCGGCUAACUACGUG
rnacentral:rRNA from 1 species